rnacentral:rRNA from 1 species
AUUGAACGCUGGCGGCAGGCUUAACACAUGCAAGUCGAGCGGGGGGAGGUAGCUUGCUACCGGACCUAGCGGCGGACGGGUGAGUAAUGCUUAGGAAUCUGCCUAUUAGUGGGGGACAACAUCUCGACAGGGAUGCUAAUACCGCAUACGUCCUACGGGAGAAAGCAGGGGAUAUUCGGACCUGGCGCUAAUAGAUGAGCAUAAGUCGGAUUAGCUAGUUGGUUGGGUAAAGGCCUACCAAGGCGACGAUCUGUAGCGGGUCUGAGAGGAUGAUCCGCCACACUGGGACUGAGACACGGCCCAGACUCCUACGGGAGGCAGCGGUGGGGAAUAUUGGACAAUGGGGGGAACCCUGAUCCAGCCAUGCCGCGUGUGUGAAGAAGGCCUUAUGGUUGUAAAGCACUUUAAGCGAGGAGGAGGCUACUUUAGUUAAUACCUAGAGAUAGUGGACGUUACUCGCAGAAUAAGCACCGGCUAACUCUGUGCCAGCCGCCGCCGUAA